CCUGUUCGAGCGUCAUUUCAACCCUCACGCCUGGCGUGGUGUUGGGCCCUGCCCGUCGCGGCCGGCCCUAAACUCAGUGGCGGCACCGUCGGGUCCUAAGCGUAGUACUGCUCUCGCUCUGGGCCCCGGCGGCCGUACGCCAGCAACCCCAACUUUCUAUGGUUGACCUCGGAUCAGGUAGGGAUACCCGCUGAACUUAA
rnacentral:misc_RNA from 1 species